CACGUAGGGGGCAAGCGUUGUCCGGAUUUAUUGGGCGUAAAGAGCUCGUAGGUGGUUCGGUAAGUCAGGUGUGAAACCUCCAGGCUCAACCUGGAGACGCCACUUGAUACUGCUGUGACUGGAGUCCGGUAGGGGAGCGUGGAAUUCCUGGUGUAGCGGUGAAAUGCGCAGAUAUCAGGAGGAACACCAGCGGCGAAGGCGGCGCUCUGGGCCGGUACUGACACUGAGGAGCGAAAGCGUGGAUAGCAAACAGG
rnacentral:rRNA from 1 species